AUGCUGUUAUCCUCCGCCUCCUCCAUCCUGAUGAACGGCGAACCGGGUGAGAAGUUCUGGCACCGACAAGGCCUGCGUCAGGGAGAUCCUUUCUCCCCGCUCCUUUUCAUCAUCGCCAUUGAUCCACUUCACCGCCUGCUAGCAGCGGCUUCCGAAGGAGGGACGCUGACCCAGUUGCCGGGUCGGGGUGCGAGCAUGAGGGUCUGCCUUUACGCAGACAACGCGGUCAUAUUCGCCAAUCCAUCCAAGACGGAGGUGGAUACGCUUCUUGAUCUGCUGACGAAAUUCGGAGAAGCAACAGGGCUGCAACUCAACCAAAGUAAAUCUUCAGUGGCAGCCAUUAGGUGCGAAGACAUCGAUUUGUCGGAUGUGCUACAGGGUUUCGGCGGCACUCUGAUUGGCUUCCCCCUGACUUACCUCGGCUUGCCGAUCUCGACGGCCAGGCUGAGGCUAAGCCACUUCCAGUUCUUGAUUGACAGAAUUAAAGCGCGGCUGGCGGGUUGGAAAGGAAAACUGCUCAACUUGGCAGGUAGGAGGGUUCUGGUACGUAGCGUCCUCUCCGCCCUGCCAACCUUUGCCAUGACUGUUCUAAAAGUGCCAGAGAAGAUCAUUCGAGAGAUGGACAAGGCCCGAAGGCGAUUCCUAUGGUGCCAGGAUGACCAGCUCGCCGGGGGUAAGUGCAAGGUGGCCUGGUCGAAGGUUUGCUCCCCGGUGCGUAUAGGAGGGUUGGGCAUCCUAGACCUAAACAAGUUCAGCAUUGCCCUUCGCCUCAGAUGGCAGUGGCUAACAUGGGAUCAACCAACAAGGCCGUGGGUGUAG
rnacentral:rRNA from 1 species